GUCGAACCUGAAGUCAGUUUAGUGUCCGAUCAUCAGAGGAACGGCUGUCACCAACAGCGACAAUACGAUGCAGAUGUCCCACAGGCCCGUGCAGUGGCUCGCUGUCAUGCUUCUUGUCGUCUUUACAGUCGGCCGGUGUCAACAGAACGAGAGUCGCCGAGCCGUGACCGAACAUCAGCUGAUGCACGAUCGCGGCCGAAACAUUCAAAGUCUCAAGAGACUCAUCUGGCUGUCCAGCGCCAUCGAGGGUCUCCACACCGCCCAGACCAGGUCUGCUGCCUUCAACCUGGCUCUGAAUCCUGAGCUGGUCUCCGGUGCUGGGAGCCCUCAGCCCACACGGGUGCAGAGCCUCCUGAGAAACUUCUUUAAUCCUUACAUGACUCAACUGCCAGACAGAGAGUCCUAACAACAUGAAGCUGUACACUUACAUAAAAAAAUAACAAGUCAUCUGCAGACGUGUACAGUUUUGUUUGUCUACAAGAGGUUUAAAGCUGGUUAAAGUUUUAAGUACUUAGUUUACUGCCUGAUGGUAGUUAUACUACUUUUUUGUCUUAAUGUAUCAUAGAGGACUGGCCGAUACAACCGAAUCACACUGGUCAGUACCAGUUUGAGCACAAACAGGCCGCUCACCAAUUCAUUUGCUUUGUUUGUGUCCGUGUACAUCAGCUUGAUAUCUACACGUGGAUGUCUAGAUAUUGUUAGCUAGAGAGUCAGAGGUCAGUGUGUGAAGUCAUUUUUCAGUCACAGUUUACAGAAUCUUUAGUUUGACUGAAAGUCAUCUGUUUAUGCUGAUAAUUAUUAAAUGAUUCAUUUCCAGGAUGUGAACUUAAAAAUAAAACAUGAAUCGCUUGAUUUAACUCCAUGUCUCACUCUCUUCAGCUGAAGACAGAAACCACGUUUCCUGUUUCAGUGACAGCGAUGUGUUUAGAAAUGAAGAAGUCGUCAUUUUGGCAGUUUCAUUUACAGUUUAUUCUCAGUCUGCGGCCUCUCUCUCUUCAUAUCCUUUUUCAGGGCUGAGUGCAGUUUUAUUGGACAGAGGGCUCAUGUGACGUUAACGUUAGUGACUUUAUAGUGCAUGUGUUUGUUUAAACUGUCUCCUAAAAUGAUUUUAAUUUGCACAACUGAGAAACAUACUGCCCCUGCAUUUAGAGUUUUAACAGCAUAAUGAGGAUCGAAUCUGCAAGACAACACAUUUAAUUUGUUUUCUUAAAAUCUAAUCUUGGAUUCACACUCACAGCACUUAGUUAAGGCUGAGGAAAAAGUCCACAGUGUCUUGAAGGACGAUUUAUCUUGUGAUUUAUGAUUUCCCAAAUUUAUUUAACAACUAUCAUGGGUGACGUUGGUGCAGCGGUAACACUGUCACCACACGGCAAGAAGGUUUGAACCUCUGCUCAUGUGUUUCCUCCAACAAAGACGUGCACGUAAGAGGUUAAUUGGUGACUCUAAAUUGUCUAUAGGUGUGAAUGUGAGUGUGAAUGGUUGUUUGUGUCUAUGUGCCCUGUGAUGAGCACCCCGCCUCUACAUCAGCUGGGGUAGACUCCAGUCGUGACCCUGAUGAGGAUAAGCGGUUACAGAAAAUGGAUGGAUGGACAACUUUCAUGCAAACAUGCAGCCCAAAGUGAUUAACAGAGCAAAAAGUGAAAAAUAAACCGAGCUCUGACACCAACGAGUCUUAACAUUUAGAUCUUAUUGUUUGUGUAUUAAAUUAACAAUUUUACAUCAUCACUGUUGGAUUUUAUGCAACUUAAAAUGUGUGAGAUGAUCACUGCUUAAUGUGUGAUAAUGUAAAGUCUGCGUACAUGUAACAGCUGUUGUUUCUUCAGUACUGUACUCAGUAGUGACUGUACAAACACACACAGUACAUAGUGCCGUCUGAAUUUACAGACUUGGUAACUCUUUGUGUAUGGAACCACAAUAAUAAAUACCAUAUGUUUGAUUAAUUAUCUUUUUGCAUGAAUAAAGAGAUAUGUGGUU